CCGGAGGAGGACUCGCAGCCAUGGAACGGAGCGGCGGCCUGCAGCGGGAGUGCAACUUCGACGGAGCCAUUUGCCAAGGGCUAUCAAAGACACAGGCAGAGGAUUUCGCUUCCAGAUCUCUGGAACUCGGGCGCGGCUUCGGUGGCAAGCCUGGGAGUUGUAGAUUUGCUCAGGAUUUUGUUUACAUAUGGAACACCUUUUGAAAAUAAAGUGAUGGAUUCCCUGGCUUUUUCCCCUCUUACCAAGCACCACCUGGCAACAUGAAAACUACUACCAACUAGUCUCCUUAAUAUGGAUGGGUAAGGAGCAAAGCUGUGCAAAUAUAGGUAGGUGCUUUGAAUGACAGAUUAAGCCAUAUGUCAAGUCCUACUGAAGUCUAUUCAAGUUACCAAACUAUCAGGCAAAUAGCGGUGAUUUUAGAAUCCAAAACUCGAGCUCUUUUGAAAAAUAUACUAAAUUCUUGUCCCCAAAUAGUUUGGCUGACAAGCCUAAGUGUGGUAGUAGUAGUGAGAUGAAGAAGGAAGAAAGUGUCUCCAUGUGCCAGGAAGGUUUUGGGUCUGUCUCAAAGCUGAUUCCUCAGAAUGUGCUUGAACAUCAGCUCCCAAAUCACCAGCCAGUAUGAGCAAAACCUGGGAAUUUAGGCAGUUGCAGUCCUAAAUAUUGAAGAAAGGCAGGUCUACAGGUUUGCAUUGUUUUUUAAUCCUAUUUUUGAAAUAAUUAUCAACAUUAUAUGUACUGUAAAAUAUUAAGACAGAUUUUUUAAAAGGACUACUGAAAUGUAACAGAUAAAAUCCCAAAGGUGCUUUUUCAAGAGGCAACUGGACUGGCAUUGACAAUCUGCAAAAUUAAUAAUCACAUUUUUUCCUUGUCUAAAAAUAUUUUACUGUCCUUCCCAUGCAAUAUUGCAUCUACUCUGGGAUAUGAAUUCCAGAGUAUGAAUAUGAAUUCAAGAGUUCUGGGUGAGAAUUUACUUUUCCUAACCUAGGAAAGAUGCAAAUCUGGCACUCCUGUGAUACAAUUUAGCAUGUUAUGAAUUAUUUCUUACUUUCUGUUAUAUACUUUCCAUUAUGUAAGGAAUAAAGGCAAUGAGCUUCAGAAAAUAAUUAGAAAAAAAUAGUCAUGCAGCCUUAAGGAAAGUCCAUUGCCAGGAAAUUGUGUAAUCAACAUAUAUUUCUGAUAGAAAAGGAAGAGAAAACUGAAGACAAUCAAAUCCAGUACAAAAAAUUUAGGAAAAGGAUACAAAAUAAUAAAAGGUUUUGUCCAAAUAUACAACAGUAUAUUUAUAAAUAUUAUAUUACUAGAGUCAUUCAAUAACUCAGUAUGCCCUUGAAAUUGUAUAUAAUGGUCUUGUAGUAUUUCAACGUAUGUUUAUAAGUUUGGAAGGAUUUGUAGGCAUGAAGAUAAAUUAUUUUUUGUUUUAUGGAGGAGACAUAUCUUCUUGCUCAGUAUUGGCCAAUCUUGCCAAAUGGAGAUUAGAUUUCCACACUUUGGUAAAGUUUAGUAACUAGGAAACAAAUUACAAAACUUUUAAAAUCAUGUUUUAUUGAGUUAACCACAAUUAACUAGCUCACAAUAUCUUAAGCCAAGUCAACUAAACCAUGUUCCCAUUUGAUACAGUACAGUAGAUGAAUUUGGUUACCUACCUGUCUAUUUCAUAGUACACUAAGCUACAGUGUGAUUUAUUUGGAUUUACCUUAGCAUUUUAAAUGAAUCCACCAAUUGUGAUUUCUUAAACUAGGUGUUAUAUUAAUAUGCAUAUUGAAUAUGGAAGUAGAGAGAUAAAAUUGGAAUGAUAUAAAGGUUUUACUGUUUAACAUCAAAAGAUUAAAAAAUAUUUGGAAGAUUAAAAGGUAAAAGAUUAAAAACUUGCACAUAUGUGC